rnacentral:rRNA from 1 species
UCUUAUGCGAUACUUGGUGUGAAUUGCAGAAUUCAGUCGACUCAUCGAUUCAUUUGAACGCACCUUGCGCCCUUUGGUAUUCCGAAGGGCAUGCCUGUUUGAGUGUCAUGUUAAUCUCAAACCCCUUGUCUUUGUUGACUCGGUUUGGUUUGGACUUGGAGGUGUUGCUGGCACAUAGGUUCUUGCCUACGUCGGCUCCUCUUAAAUGUAUUAGCUGGACUUUGGUUCGCAUUAACGGUGUAAUAGUAAAGUGUUCGCCGGGUGCUUGCCUAACGAGUCUUCUUCUAAUUGUCUUCGGACAAGGUCGACUCUGACCUUUUCUCUUGACCUUUGACCUCAAAUCAGGUAGGACCUUCCCCGCUGAACUUAAGCAUAUCAAUAAGCGGAGGAA